rnacentral:lncRNA from 1 species
GGGCCCUGGAGAUGGUGCGGCCGCCCGGGCCCCCCCGCGCUGGCUACGGCUGCCCGCUCCUAAGUGACUUGACCCUGUCGCCUGUGCCAAGGGACUCCAUGCUGCAGUUGCAGGACACAUACAGGUACCCCGGCUUUGUGCCGCAGGGCCACCCGGGCCUGGGGGGUGCCCCGAAGAGCAGCUUCCUGGGGCCCAUGGGGGAGCCGCACCCUGAGGACACUUUCACCGUCACCUCCCUGUAGUGCCAACUGAAGUGCCAACUGGACAAUGAGGUUUUCUAACAGGCUUUCAGAAACCAACGCCAAGAUCCCUCCCGUCAUCCCCAACCUCCCGCAGGAGCAACUCACUUCCUCUGCCUCCUCUCCUGACUGCCCCCCAUCUUGGAAUCCCAAAGCCCCCUCCUCCUUUUCCAUGGCCUACCCUGGACCCUGGGAACCCCCUCCCUCUCCCCCACCCCACCCCCCACGCAGAAGCGGAAGGUGAGCUCUUUCUGCACAAAACCAGCAAUUGUAAAUACUUUUUAAAAAUGUACAAAACAAAACAGAACACAGUUUUAGACAAAAAAAAGACAAAAAAAAGAGCGAGCGAGAGAUUGCGAGAACGAGCGAGAGAUUGCGAGAGCGAGAGAGGCCGAGCAGUGCCCGAGCAGCUCCUCCAGUAUGCACUGAGAAAUUUAUUUACAGGUCGUUAGAGAGAAAGGAACAAUACCCUAUUUAUUGUAUAUACUGUUUUAUUAUAAAUUGUGGAUUGCAUAUUGCACCCUGUACAUCUGCUGUGGUUCCGUGGUGUGCAAAUACGCAUGGUGGGGGGUGGGGGGGCGGUUCUCUAGGGACAGCUUUUCUUUCUGGUUUUUUCACUCCUUUUGGGUUGUUUUCUUUUUUCUGUUGUUGUUGUUGUUUUCUGUUGGCAGGACACACCCAAAGAUCCAAAUUUGUAUUAAAAAAAAUUAAAUGGAAAAAGCAAAAAAAAAAAAAAAAAAAAAAAAAGUCAAUAAUUCUUGUGUUGGCC